rnacentral:rRNA from 1 species
AAAGCCCAGCGCAGAACCUCCCGGGUCACCAGGCCUGCGGCGGAAUGUUGCGUAAAGGGAAAGAUCGUUGUCAAACCCAACAACCACGUGAAUCUCUAAGUCAGCCACGAAUUGGCUAUCCCAACUAACGGCGGGACUGACUCCAUGGAGGGUGUAAGACCCGUGUGGGCACGUGUCAAUGUUGUGCGGGUUCGGUCUCUUCCCUGAGAGUCGCGUUGCUUGAGCAUGCAGCGCUAAGCAGGUCGUAAACUCGAUCUAAGGCUAAAUAUAUCCACAGGACCGAUAGCAAACAAGUACCGUGAGGGAAAGUUGAAAAGCACUCUGAAGAGAGAGUCAAAAGACCGUGAAACCGCUCAGAGUAUAAGCCCAUGGUAGCUGGGAGGCAAGUCACAAGGGCCCUUCCUUCAGGGGUGGGUGUUCCGGGGUUCUGCACAAUCUGUUUAUUAAUGAAGGGGCAUUGAGUUGACACCCCGCUAGCAAUCGGGCAAAUGUGUUGGGAGUAGGCGACGCUUAGCUCGGCGUGUGCUUCCUUCAUUUUGCUGUCAGAGAACUGCAAUGAGUCUGGCUUGCAAACCCCUGUGACUAAGCCCACCACAGUACGUUGUGAGGUCACCCACAGGCUCAAACAGUCGAUCGCGGGUCAGUGUGGCUUGACUUCGUCAUAGUGUACCAGGCACGUCUUGCUCUCUGUCUCGGGCGAUCCGAGAAUAUCCUGGUAUGAUCCUCUUGCGACGAACUGAUUCUGACCGGGACAGCACCCUCGGGUAUGUAGUUGAUCGUUUGGACCUGGAAUGUCGAUCGGGAGCUGACCCGCAUGGUGUUCAGCUUAGCACCAUCGGUCACGUCUCGAAACACGGGCCAAGGAGUAUAGCAUGUGUGCAAGUCUAAGGGUCCCACAAAACCCGCAGGCGAAGUGAAAGCAAGGCUGUGGCGGGAGAGCUACGGCGAUCCUGUCAGCAUGGGAGCCUUCGGGCGACCUGCUUAAACCGAGUUGAUCCUGUCGAGAUGGCCAACGCCAGCGAUGGGCGCAAGCUCCAGGCUCACGCACGCACGGUCGGCUGUKCUGUGAGCACUGUGGAGCAUGCAUGCUAUAACCCGAAAGAUAGUGAACUAUGCCUGGCGA